AUAGUGGUGACUUCGAAACCGUCCAUAGCGGCUUGAAGGGCAUUGAUGGGAUCGACUUCAGUGACAAUGACACGGGCACCUUGGCUACGAAGAGAAGUUGAACAACCUUUACCAACAUCACCAAAACCAGCAACAACAGCAACUUUACCAGCAAUCAUAACAUCAGUGGCACGCUUGAUACCAUCCACCAAGGACUCCUUGCAUCCAAAAAGAUUGUCAAACUUGGACUUGGUAACA